GACGAACGCUGGCGGCGUGCUUAACACAUGCAAGUCGAACGGAAAGGCCCUGCUUUUGUGGGGUGCUCGAGUGGCGAACGGGUGAGUAACACGUGAGUAACCUGCCCUUGACUUUGGGAUAACUUCAGGAAACUGGGGCUAAUACCGGAUAGGAGCUCCUGCUGCAUGGUGGGGGUUGGAACGUUUCGGCGGUUGGGGAUGGACCCGCGGCUUAUCAGCUUGUUGGUGGGGUAGUGGCUUACCAAGGCUUUGACGGGUAGCCGGCCUGAGAGGGUGACCGGCCACAUUGGGACUGAGAUACGGCCCAGACUCCUACGGGAGGCAGCAGUGGGGAAUAUUGCACAAUGGGCGGAAGCCUGAUGCAGCAACGCCGCGUGCGGGAUGACGGCCUUCGGGUUGUAAACCGCUUUCGCCUGUGACGAAGCGUGAGUGACGGUAAUGGGUAAAGAAGCACCGGCUAACUACGUG
rnacentral:rRNA from 1 species